GGGCCCGCACAAGCGGUGGAGCAUGUGGUUUAAUUCGAUGAUACGCGAGGAACCUUACCAGGGCUUAAAUGUAAGUUGCAUAGACCAGAGAUGGUCUUUUCUUCGGACUACUUACAAGGUGCUGCAUGGUUGUCGUCAGCUCGUGCCGUGAGGUGUCAGGUUAAGUCCUAUAACGAGCGCAACCCCUGUCGUUAGUUGCCAUCAAGUAAAGUUGGGUACUCUAGCGAGACUGCCGGUGCAAACCGUGAGGAAGGUGGGGAUGACGUCAAAUCAUCACGGCCCUUACGUCCUGGCUACACACGUGCUACAAUGGCCGGUACAGAGAGCAGCCACUACGCGAGUAG
rnacentral:rRNA from 1 species